rnacentral:rRNA from 1 species
AUUGAACGCUGGCGGCAGGCCUAACACAUGCAAGUCGAACGGUAACAGGGAUCAGCUUGCUGAUUCGCUGACGAGUGGCGGACGGGUGAGUAAUGUCUGGGUAACUGCCUGAUGGAGGGGGAUAACUACUGGAAACGGUAGCUAAUACCGCAUCACGUCGCAAGACCAAAGAGGGGGACCUUCGGGCCUCUUGCCAUCCGAUGUGCCCAGAUGGGAUUAGCUAGUAGGUGGGGUAACGGCUCACCUAGGCGACGCUCCCUAGCUGGUCUGAGAGGAUGACCAGCCACACUGGAACUGAGACACGGUCCAGACUCCUACGGGAGGCAGCAGUGGGGAAUAUUGCACAAUGGGCGCAAGCCUGAUGCAGCCAUGCCGCGUGUAUGAAGAAGGCCUUCGGGUUGUAAAGUACUUUCAGCGGGGAGGAAGGGAGUAAAGUUAAUACCUUUGCUCAUUGACGUUACCCGCAGAAGAAGCACCGGCUAACUCCGUG